rnacentral:rRNA from 1 species
GGUUAAGCGACUAAGCGUACACGGUGGAUGCCCUGGCAGUCAGAGGCGAUGAAGGACGUGCUAAUCUGCGAUAAGCGCCGGUAAGGUGAUAUGAACCGUUAUAACCGGCGAUUUCCGAAUGGGGAAACCCAGUGUGAUUCGUCACACUAUCAUUAACUGAAUCCAUAGGUUAAUGAGGCGAACCGGGGGAACUGAAACAUCUAAGUACCCCGAGGAAAAGAAAUCAACCGAGAUUCCCCCAGUAGCGGCGAGCGAACGGGGAGGAGCCCAGAGCCUGAAUCAGCAUGUGUGUUAGUGGAAGCGUCUGGAAAGGCGCGCGAUACAGGGUGACAGCCCCGUACACAAAAGCGCAUGUGCUGUGAGCUCGAUGAGUAGGGCGGGACACGUGGUAUCCUGUCUGAAUAUGGGGGACCAUCCUCCAAGGCUAAAUACUCCUGACUGACCGAUAGUGAACCAGUACCGUGAGGGAAAGGCGAAAAGAACCCCGGCGAGGGGAGUGAAAAAGAACCUGAAACCGUGUACGUACAAGCAGUGGGAGCACCCUUUGGGGUGUGACUGCGUACCUUUUGUAUAAUGGGUCAGCGACUUAUAUUCUGUAGCAAGGUUAACCGUAUAGGGGAGCCGGAGGGAAACCGAGUCUUAAUUGGGCGUUAAGUUGCAGGGUAUAGACCCGAAACCCGGUGAUCUAGCCAUGGGCAGGUUGAAGGUUGGGUAACACUAACUGGAGGACCGAACCGACUAAUGUUGAAAAAUUAGCGGAUGACCUGUGGCUGGGGGUGAAAGGCCAAUCAAACCGGGAGAUAGCUGGUUCUCCCCGAAAGCUAUUUAGGUAGCGCCUCGUGAAUUCAUCUCCGGGGGUAGAGCACUGUUUCGGCUAGGGGCCAUCCCGGCUUACCAACCCGAUGCAAACUGCGAAUACCGGAGAAUGUUAUCACGGGAGACACACGGCGGGUGCUAACGUCCGUCGUGAAGAGGGAAACAACCCAGACCGCCAGCUAAGGUCCCAAAGUCAUGGUUAAGUGGGAAACGAUGUGGGAAGGCCCAGACAGCCAGGAUGUUGGCUUAGAAGCAGCCAUCAUUUAAAGAAAGCGUAAUAGCUCACUGGUCGAGUCGGCCUGCGCGGAAGAUGUAACGGGGCUAAACCAUGCACCGAAGCUGCGGCAGCGACACUGUGUGUUGUUGGGUAGGGGAGCGUUCUGUAAGCCUGUGAAGGUGUGUCGUGAGGCAUGCUGGAGGUAUCAGAAGUGCGAAUGCUGACAUAAGUAACGAUAAAGCGGGUGAAAAGCCCGCUCGCCGGAAGACCAAGGGUUCCUGUCCAACGUUAAUCGGGGCAGGGUGAGUCGACCCCUAAGGCGAGGCCGAAAGGCGUAGUCGAUGGGAAACGGGUUAAUAUUCCCGUACUUGGUGUUACUGCGAAGGGGGACGGAGAAGGCUAUGUUGGCCGGGCGACGGUUGUCCCGGUUUAAGCGUGUAGGCUGGUUUUCCAGGCAAAUCCGGAAAAUCAAGGCUGAGGCGUGACGACGAGGCACUACGGUGCUGAAGCAACAAAUGCCCUGCUUCCAGGAAAAGCCUCUAAGCAUCAGGUAACACGAAAUCGUACCCCAAACCGACACAGGUGGUCAGGUAGAGAAUACCAAGGCGCUUGAGAGAACUCGGGUGAAGGAACUAGGCAAAAUGGUGCCGUAACUUCGGGAGAAGGCACGCUGACAUGUAGGUGAAGUGAUUUACUCAUGGAGCUGAAGUCAGUCGAAGAUACCAGCUGGCUGCAACUGUUUAUUAAAAACACAGCACUGUGCAAACACGAAAGUGGACGUAUACGGUGUGACGCCUGCCCGGUGCCGGAAGGUUAAUUGAUGGGGUCAGCGCAAGCGAAGCUCCUGAUCGAAGCCCCGGUAAACGGCGGCCGUAACUAUAACGGUCCUAAGGUAGCGAAAUUCCUUGUCGGGUAAGUUCCGACCUGCACGAAUGGCGUAAUGAUGGCCAGGCUGUCUCCACCCGAGACUCAGUGAAAUUGAACUCGCUGUGAAGAUGCAGUGUACCCGCGGCAAGACGGAAAGACCCCGUGAACCUUUACUAUAGCUUGACACUGAACAUUGAGCCUUGAUGUGUAGGAUAGGUGGGAGGCUUUGAAGUGUGGACGCCAGUCUGCAUGGAGCCGACCUUGAAAUACCACCCUUUAAUGUUUGAUGUUCUAACGUGGACCCGUAAUCCGGGUUGCGGACAGUGUCUGGUGGGUAGUUUGACUGGGGCGGUCUCCUCCUAAAGAGUAACGGAGGAGCACGAAGGUUGGCUAAUCCUGGUCGGACAUCAGGAGGUUAGUGCAAUGGCAUAAGCCAGCUUGACUGCGAGCGUGACGGCGCGAGCAGGUGCGAAAGCAGGUCAUAGUGAUCCGGUGGUUCUGAAUGGAAGGGCCAUCGCUCAACGGAUAAAAGGUACUCCGGGGAUAACAGGCUGAUACCGCCCAAGAGUUCAUAUCGACGGCGGUGUUUGGCACCUCGAUGUCGGCUCAUCACAUCCUGGGGCUGAAGUAGGUCCCAAGGGUAUGGCUGUUCGCCAUUUAAAGUGGUACGCGAGCUGGGUUUAGAACGUCGUGAGACAGUUCGGUCCCUAUCUGCCGUGGGCGCUGGAGAACUGAGGGGGGCUGCUCCUAGUACGAGAGGACCGGAGUGGACGCAUCACUGGUGUUCGGGUUGUCAUGCCAAUGGCACUGCCCGGUAGCUAAAUGCGGAAGAGAUAAGUGCUGAAAGCAUCUAAGCACGAAACUUGCCCCGAGAUGAGUUCUCCCUGAGACUUAAAGUCUCCUGAAGGAACGUUGAAGACGACGACGUUGAUAGGCCGGGUGUGUAAGCGCAGCGAUGCGUUGAGCUAACCGGUACUAAUGAACCGUGAGGCUUAACCUU